UUGUCACGCCCCGCCCCGAAUCCACUACCAAUUUGGCACGGUUCGGGCACAUCGGACGGACCGCCGAACGGACAGUACCUCUCCUGUCCGCCCAAGGCCAAGCAACCAGAUCAUGUACAAUUAAGCACCCAGGAAUUUGCUUAAAUAACAUACAUGAUCAAAUACGAUGCACACAAGUGCAAUACAUCUAAGAGCAAGAACCACAAGUGACAUACAAGUGUAUAAAGAGAGAUAGUCUAACUAUCACAAUCAUUUUACUUUAUUUGAAUAUAUUAUAUUUCCAUCUUCCAAAAUGUAAGUACAUGUUUCCUUCAAAAUAUAAGUAGCUCUCUGAUAUCUAUCCAAAAUAUCAACUAGUACGCGAGGGUACUCUAAUGCAUAAGGAAAAGCUACUAACUAGGCUCACUUAGGGCGCUAUGCCCUUGCCGCGGUCCUCGCUCGGCUCGCCUCUAUGUGUACCUGUACCCCAAAACCACACGGGGUGAGAACUAUAUAAAUAUAUUUAUAUAGUUCCCAGUGGGUUCGGCCGCCGACGCCGCCGGUUUUCCCACUAGGUCUAAGCUGGCACAGAUAGAGAGAUAGAUAGAUAUAUAAAGAGAUAAACUGCAACUACUCUAUCAUGCCAUCAAUGAUGGUAAUGCAUGCAACAACUACUAUCAUGCGAGAAUCAUGUCAUGAGUAUAUAAAAGUACAUAGUAAUGCAAUUUACAACAUACACUAUGUCUACUCGAGGUAAUGCAUGAACAUAGCAAUGAUAUUCUACUAAUCACGAUACUAUGCUUCAACAAUAAUGGAAAUGAGCUACUACAUAGUGAUGUAUCUAUAACAUGCUACUAUGUCUCAAUAAUCCAAAUGAACGAGCUACACAGUGCGUCGUGCAACUAUGCCUCGGUAGUAUCCAAUCUCAUGGCCAACCUGAAGGUUGCCACCCCGGGGUCAACCCCGACUCACUCUCAAUCUCAUAGGUGAGGAGAAACUGCACUCGCACACCGAGACCGUCUGCGGGACAACUACGUCUGCCCCUAGUGAAGUACUCCGGAGACUCGUGCCUCGGUGGAGCGACCACCGACAAGCAAAAACAGACUAGUGAAUAUGAUCCAAUCCUCACAAGAGGAUACCCUAUCUACAAGGGUCAACGUGCCUCUGCUGCACAAUAUACAAUGUAUCCAAGAUGCCGGGAUCUCUACUAUCCCUAGAACCAUGUCACGUUUACUACACUAGACUCGAUGCCACUCGUUCGAUCAUUGUAGUAAGUUUUCUAGUUAAUUGACAUGCCACUCGUUCUAGUUUAGUGUUUCUACUACACUAGUUCAAUGCCACUCUACUAGGCUAUCAUAUGUCCAAGUUCGGCUCUUUAUGCCAUUAUAGGAUUCCCAUGUCACAAAACCCAAUCCUCAUGCUACCCUAGUUCAUGUGUCUAACUCAUAGUUACACUACUAAGAAGCAUGCAAGGAAUUAGAAUUGCAACUAUCUGCUAAUCCUAUAAUGCAAUAUGAUCAACACAUAUAUAACUUAGACAUAAAAAGAAACCCGGAUGUUUCGGUAUGACACCCCCCACCUUUUGGUAGUGUCACAAGGCUAGGCUCUCAUCUGCACGUUCCCUAGUCGCCGCUUUACUCUUCGGUCUACACAAGGCCGCCUGCGCUUGUUUCUGCCAGAACGUCGCACCCGCUCGACGAAUCGACGAACCGACGAUUCCCACGCGUUUAGGCACCUCAAACACAAGCUUUUCCUCAAGCCAAGUAAUGAAGAGGAUGAAUACUUCACCUCCAAGCAACCUUUUUCUUCUCCAAAUGCACCUCCAAUUCCUCUCUUGGGUGGAGAAAUUGUUAGAGAGAGAGAUAUUUCUCUUUGGUUGCAAGUGUGAGGGAGAAAGAAAGAAAAGGCUCAAGUCCCCUAUAUAUAUAUAUAGGAAACUUGGCCUCCAAGUUUCAUAGGAAACUUGG
rnacentral:lncRNA from 1 species